AGUCAAUCUAACCUAUGGAUGGGGAUAACCUCGGGAAACUGAGAAUAAUACCCAAUAGGCCAUUAUGCCUGGAAUGGUUUAUGGCUCAAAUGAUUCGUCGCCGUAGGAUGGGACUGCGGCCUAUCAGUUUGUUGGUGAGGUAAUGGCCCACCAAGACUAUUACAGGUACGGGCUCUGAGAGGAGAAGCCCGGAGAUGGGUACUGAGACACGGACCCAGGCCCUAUGGGGCGCAGCAGGCGAGAAAACUUUGCAAUGUGCGAAAGCACGACAAGGUUAAUCCGAGUGGUCUCUGCUAAAGGGACCUUUUGACAGUCCUAGAAACACUGUUGAAUAAGGGGUGGGCAAGUUCUGGUGUCAGCCGCCGCGGUAAAACCAGCACCUCAAGUGGUCAGGAUGAUUAUUGGGCCUAAAGCAUCCGUAGCCUGCUUUGUUAGUUUUCGGUUAAAUCCAUGCGCUCAACGUAUGGGCUGCCGGGAAUACUGCAAAGCUAGGGAGUGGGAGAGGUAGACGGUACUCGGUAGGAAGGGGUAAAAUCCUUUGAUCUAUUGAUGACCACCUGUGGCGAAGGCGGUCUACCAGAACACGUCCGACGGUGAGGGAUGAAAGCUGGGGGAGCAAACCGGAUUAGAUACCCGGGUAGUCCCAGCUGUAAACAAUGCAGACUCAGUGAUGCUCUGGCUUGUGGCCAGUGCAGUGCCGCAGGGAAGCCGUUAAGUCUGCCGCCUGGGAAGUACGUACGCAAGUAUGAAACUUAAAGGAAUUGGCGGGGGAGCACCACAAGGGGUGAAGCCUGCGGUUC
rnacentral:rRNA from 1 species